GUGUGUAGAAGGAUCCUGUAG
rnacentral:piRNA from 1 species